rnacentral:rRNA from 1 species
ACUCAAAGGAAUUGACGGGGACCCGCACAAGCGGUGGAGCAUGUGGUUUAAUUCGAGGCUACGCGAAGAACCUUACCCAGGUUUGACAUGUAGUUGACCGCGUAUGAAAGUACGCUUUCUCGCAAGAGACAAUUACACAGGUGCUGCAUGGCUGUCGUCAGCUCGUGCUGUGAAGUGUUGGGUUAAGUCCCGCAACGAGCGCAACCUUUAUUCUUAGUUGCCAUCACGUCAUGGUGGGCACUCUAGGAAGACUGCCGGUGAUUAACUGGAGGAAGGAGGAGAUGACGUCAAGUCAGUAUGGCCCUUAUACCUGGGGCUACACACGUGCUACAAUGGCCACUACAAAGCGCAGCAAACCCGCGAGGGGGAGCUAAUCGCAAAAAAAUGGCCCCAGUUCAGAUAGGAGGCUGCAACUCGCCUCCUUGAAGUCGGAAUCGCUAGUAACGGUAGAUCAGCUACGCUACCGUGAAUACGUUCCCGGGUCUUGCACACACCGCCCGU